rfam:Triticum aestivum genome assembly, contig: Triticum_aestivum_CS42_TGACv1_scaffold_504459_6BL
CUACUACUCCCUCCGUCCGAAAAUACUUGUCAUUGAAAUGGAUGUAUCUAGAUGUAUUUUAGUUCUAGACACAUCCAUUUUGAUGACAAGUAAUUCCAGACGGAGAGAGUAUUAU